rnacentral:rRNA from 1 species
UACGGAGGGUGCAAGCGUUAUCCGGAUUCACUGGGUUUAAAGGGUGCGUAGGCGGGUUGGUAAGUCCGUGGUGAAAUCUCCAAGCUUAACUUGGAAACUGCCGUGGAUACUAUCAAUCUUGAAUAUAGUGGAGGUGAGCGGAAUAUGUCAUGUAGCGGUGAAAUGCUUAGAUAUCAAGAGGAACACCUGAGGUGAAGACGGGUUGCUGGGCCGACACUGACGCUGAGUGCGCGAAAGCCAGGGGAGCAAACGGG